rnacentral:rRNA from 1 species
AGUGAACGCUGGCGGUAGGCCUAACACAUGCAAGUCGAACGGCAGCACAGUAAGAGCUUGCUCUUACGGGUGGCGAGUGGCGGACGGGUGAGGAAUACAUCGGAAUCUACUUUUUCGUGGGGGAUAACGUAGGGAAACUUACGCUAAUACCGCAUACGACCUACGGGUGAAAGCAGGGGAUCUUCGGACCUUGCGCGAUUGAAUGAGCCGAUGUCGGAUUAGCUAGUUGGCGGGGUAAAGGCCCACCAAGGCGUCGAUCCGUAGCUGGUCUGAGAGGAUGAUCAGCCCCAGUGGGACUGGGACACGGUCCAAACUCCUAAGGGGGGCAGGCGUGGGGAAUAUUGGACAAUGGGGGCAAGCCUGAUCCAGCCAUACCGCGUGGGUGAAGAAGGCCUUCGGGUUGUAAAGCCCUUUUGUUGGGAAAGAAAAGCAGCAGGUUAAUACCCCGCUGUUCUGACGGUACCCAAAGAAUAAGCACCGGCUAACUUCGUG